rnacentral:rRNA from 1 species
UUACCAUGCAAGUCGAACGAUGAACCGCUUUCGGGCGGGGAUUAGUGGCGAACGGGUGAGUAACACGUGGGCAAUCUGCCCUGCACUCUGGGACAAGCCCUGGAAACGGGGUCUAAUACCGGAUAUGACUGUCCAUCGCAUGGUGGAUGGUGUAAAGCUCCGGCGGUGCAGGAUGAGCCCGCGGCCUAUCAGCUUGUUGGUGAGGUAGUGGCUCACCAAGGCGACGACGGGUAGCCGGCCUGAGAGGGCGACCGGCCACACUGGGACUGAGACACGGCCCAGACUCCUACGGGAGGCAGCAGUGGGGAAUAUUGCACAAUGGGCGAAAGCCUGAUGCAGCGACGCCGCGUGAGGGAUGACGGCCUUCGGGUUGUAAACCUCUUUCAGCAGGGAAGAAGCGAAAGUGACGGUACCUGCAGAAGAAGCGCCGGCUAACUACGUGCCAGCAGCCGCGGUAAUACGUAGGGCGCAAGCGUUGUCCGGAAUUAUUGGGCGUAAAGAGCUCGUAGGCGGCUUGUCACGUCGGUUGUGAAAGCCCGGGGCUUAACCCCGGGUCUGCAGUCGAUACGGGCAGGCUAGAGUUCGGUAGGGGAGAUCGGAAUUCCUGGUGUAGCGGUGAAAUGCGCAGAUAUCAGGAGGAACACCGGUGGCGAAGGCGGAUCUCUGGGCCGAUACUGACGCUGAGGAGCGAAAGCGUGGGGAGCGAACAGGAUUAGAUACCCUGGUAGUCCACGCCGUAAACGGUGGGCACUAGGUGUGGGCAACAUUCCACGUUGUCCGUGCCGCAGCUAACGCAUUAAGUGCCCCGCCUGGGGAGUAC